GCUAUUUCUCAGAGUUGGGACAAUCCUUGUUUGACUUUGGAAAGGCAGACAAGCUCUUAGGUGCUUGUGAGGGAAAUUCUCUUGGUAAAGCGUUUUCAGAUUUUGGCAUGCAAGCUGAAAUAUUGUCUUACAAGCUUCAGAAUGAGGAAUCUUUAAUCAUAAGUUUGAAGAUAAUGUAACUCUAAAAACAAACUGUAUUAAUCUUGAUUACGUACUACUGAUUUAUUGUGUAAACAAAAUUCUGAAAUGAUAUCUGACUUGACUUCCAAUGAAGGCCCACAAUGUAUUGAUGAACUUUAAAGUGCCUUUAAAGGAUUAUGCACAAGCUGUGCAAUCAAUAAAGGCUACCAUGGCAGACCGAGCAAAUGCUUUCAGGCAGCAAUGUGAAUUGACAGAAAUAGCAAAGUUGAAGGAGAUUAACCUUGAGAGACUGAUGCUGGCUCGAUCUGAAAAGGCAGCAGAAGCAGAAAUAGAGUGCAAGGAAGUAAGUGCUUA